rnacentral:rRNA from 1 species
GAUGAACGCUGGCGGCGUGCCUAAUACAUGCAAGUCGAGCGAACAGAUAAGGAGCUUGCUCCUUUGAAGCUAGCGGCGGACGGGUGAGUAACACGUGGGUAACCUACCUAUAAGACUGGGAUAACUUCGGGAAACCGGAGCUAAUACCGGAUAACAUUUAGAACCGCAUGGUUCUAAAGUGAAAGAUGGUUUUGCUAUCACUUAUAGAUGGACCCGCGCCGUAUUAGCUAGUUGGUAAGGUAACGGCUUACCAAGGCGACGAUACGUAGCCGACCUGAGAGGGUGAUCGGCCACACUGGAACUGAGACACGGUCCAGACUCCUACGGGAGGCAGCAGUAGGGAAUCUUCCGCAAUGGGCGAAAGCCUGACGGAGCAACGCCGCGUGAGUGAUGAAGGGUUUCGGCUCGUAAAACUCUGUUAUUAGGGAAGAACAAAUGUGUAAGUAACUGUGCACAUCUUGACGGUACCUAAUCAGAAAGCCACGGCUAACUACGUG